rnacentral:rRNA from 1 species
UACGAAGGGGGCUAGCGUUGUUCGGAAUUACUGGGCGUAAAGCGCACGUAGGCGGAUAUUUAAGUCAGGGGUGAAAUCCCAGAGCUCAACUCUGGAACUGCCUUUGAUACUGGGUAUCUCGAGUAUGGAAGAGGUGAGUGGAAUUCCGAGUGUAGAGGUGAAAUUCGUAGAUAUUCGGAAGAACACCAGUGGCGAAGGCGGCUCAGCUGGCCCGGUACUGACGCUGAGGUGCGAAAGCGUGGGGAGCAAACAGG